UACGUAGGGGGCUAGCGUUGUCCGGAAUCAUUGGGCGUAAAGAGCGUGUAGGCGGCCCGGUAAGUCCGCUGUGAAAGUCGGGGGCUCAACCCUCGGAUGCCGGUGGAUACUGUCGGGCUCGAGUACGGAAGAGGCGAGUGGAAUUCCUGGUGUAGCGGUGAAAUGCGUAGAUAUCGGGAGGAACACCUGAGGCGAAGGCGGGUUACUGGGCUGAUACUGACGCUGAUGCGCGAAAGCCAGGGGAGCAAACGGG
rnacentral:rRNA from 1 species